UCAUUAUAGAAAUGAACUUGAAGUUGACGAGGUAGCCUGCGCUUAAUUGCGCGGCCCUCUCAUCUUUAUACACACGUGGAGUUUCUUCUUCGUUAUUUGGAUCCUUUGGGAGCGCAAGUUCCCAGAGGUAAAACACAAACAAUUUUUUUUGAUAUUUUACACAGUCAAUUACUAUUAAACAAAAUAUUCAAAACUUUCAACAACGGAUCUCUUGGUUCUCGCAUCGAUGAAGAACGCAGCGAAAUGCGAUACGUAAUGUGAAUUGCAGAAUUCCGUGAAUCAUCGAAUCUUUGAACGCACAUUGCGCCCCUUGGUAUUCCGGGGGGCAUGCCUGUUUGAGCGUCAUUUCCCUCUCAAACAUUUAAUUAUGUUUGGUAGUGAGCUAUACUCUUUCGUGGAGUUUGCUUGAAAUUGGGAGGCCAUAGGUUGAGCUUAGCGUAGCCUAGCCACUAAAGUCGUAUUAGGUCCUACCGACUCGGCGGAAAGUGGAAAGGAAUUUGCUUUGAGCUGUAAGCCUGGCUUGACAAAAUUCUCAAAGUUUGACCUCAAAUCAGGUAGGAUUACCCGCUGAACUUAAGCAUAUCAAUAAGCGGAGGAAAAGAAACCAACCGGGAUUGCCUUAGUAACGGCGAGUGAAGCGGCAAAAGCUCAAAUUUGAAAUCUGGUACCUUCGGUGCCCGAGUUGUAAUUUGGAGAAAGUGAUUCUGGGAUUGGCCCUUUCCUAUGUUCCUUGGAAAAGGACGUCAUAGAGGGUGAGAACCCCGUGAGGAGAGGUGAUCCAAUUCUUUGUAGAGCGCUUUCGAAGAGUCGAGUUGUUUGGGAAUGCAGCUCUAAGAGGGUGGUAAAUUCCAUCUAAAGCUAAAUACAGGCGAGAGACCGAUAGCGAACAAGUACAGUGAUGGAAAGAUGAAAAGAACUUUGAAAAGAGAGUGAAAAAGGACGUGAAAUUGUUGAAAGGGAAGGGCAUUUGAUCAGACAUGGUGUUUUGUGCCCCUCGCUCCUCGUGGGUGGGGGAAUCUCGCAGCUCACUGGGCCAGCAUCAGUUUUGGCGGCAGGAGAAAACUAUGGGAAUGUGGCUCUCGCCUUCGGGUGGGAGUGUUAUAGCCCAUGGGAAUACUGCCAGCUGGGACUGAGGUA
rnacentral:rRNA from 1 species